CUAUUACUAUGCAGCCUGCAUAGGUAAUUUUAAUAAAUACUUAACAUGUUUCUAAUUUAGUUUUUAUUCUUUUUUUUUUAAGAUUUAUUUAUUUUAAAGAGACAUUGGGGUUGGGGCAGAGGGAGAGAAUCUUCAAGCAAACUCCCCACUGAUUGUGGAGCCUGACCUAGGUCUUGAUCUUAGGAUCCAUGAAAUCAUGACCUGAAAUGAAACCAAGAGUUGGGAGCUCAACUGACUGAGCCACCUGGGCAUCCCUAACUUUUAUUCUUCAAUACGAACUGAUCAAUAAUUUUAAAAGAAAUCUGAAAUGGCACUACCAGGAAAAUUUUGCAUAAACUCCUACAAUAAAGAAGCUAGCAAAAGCAAGGAUUUAGGAUUUGUUGCAAGAUCCUCUUCCCUGAGAGGGGCCUGACAAGAGCCUAGCAAGAUUACAACCCCCAGGAACUGAUAUAACAACUCAGAUCCAGAGAAUGAGACCAUCAAGGAUUCACUUACCACAAAUGGACAUCUGGAUAGAUGCAGACCAAAGUGCACUUGACUAAAGUGGGCCAGGUAGGGUCGUCAGAAGGGGUAAAUUGAACUUGGUUCUAUACUAUUGAGUCAAAACUCAUUAAAUCAUUAUUGUCUAAGGUUAGGAUUGAUUGUAGAGACAAGGGUCAGCAUUGAGCACAAGGAUGGGAGAGUAGGGGAAGGGGAUGAGGACGAGAGUGGAAUGCAUGUGAAGUCAAGUUAAGCUGUCUGAAAGGGUGAGAGUGGAUGGGGAACCUGUCAAGGGUGGAAUGCAUAGAUGCAGCUGAAGCACCCUGGAUGUCUUUAAUAUUU
rnacentral:lncRNA from 1 species